GGCCUGGGCGCGGCGCGGAGGAAGUGCCGUCUUCGCUGCCUCGGCCGCCUCAGGCGCCUCAGGCGCGCCGCGGGUCGCCUCAGCCGCGCGGGCCGCGAUGUCUUCCCGGCCCGGGCGUGACGACGCGCGAGCCGGAGGCGCGCGGCGGCCGCGGGAGUCGGCCGAGCAGGAGCUGCAGCGGCGCCGAGAGCAGAAGCGGCGGCGGCACGACGCGCAGCAGCUGCAGCAGCUCAAGCACCUGGAGUCCUUUUAUGAAAAACCUCCUCCGGGGCUUAUCAAGGAAGAUGAGACUAAGCCGGAAGACUGUAUACCAGAUGUACCAGGCAACGAACAUGCCAGGGAAUUUCUGGCUCACGCACCAACUAAAGGACUUUGGAUGCCACUUGGGAAAGAGGUCAAAGUUAUGCAGUGUUGGCGUUGUAAGCGGUAUGGUCACCGAACAGGCGACAAAGAAUGCCCUUUUUUUAUCAAAGGCAACCAAAAAUUAGAACAGUUCAGAGUAGCACAUGAAGAUCCCAUGUAUGACAUCAUACGAGAGAAUAAAAGACAUGAAAAGGAUGUAAGGAUACAGCAGUUAAAACAGUUACUGGAGGAUUCCACCUCUGAUGAAGAUGGGAGCAGCUCCAGCUCCUCAGAAUGUAAAGAGAAACACAAGAAAAAGAAGAAGAAAGAAAAGCAUAAGAAAAGGAAAAAAGAAAAGAAGAAGAAGAAAAAACGAAAGCAUAAGUCUUCCAAGUCGAAUGAGAGUUCAGACUCGGACUAAGACUUGACCUAUUCCAUGUUCUCCUCUCAAAAAUCAGACACUGUGGCCCCAGACCGGAGGGUGUGGAAUCGGGGAGGACUUGGAGACCCCAAGAGAGCAGGGCAUUCGGUGUCACGCGUGUGAAUUCUCCCCUGGCUUCCAGCAAAGACGUGACCCCCGGAGGGGCUGUGAUAGGAUGGAAAAAAUGGAUUCCUACACACUGAUGAGAAAUGACAGCAGAGGCAAAUGAGACUUUAAGAAGACUAAAGGAGAAAGAUCCCAUAGGAAGAGGAGAGAAGAGGAACCACUGUGACAUACACAAGGAGAACUCCAGCCAACACUAACACCAGACCUCAGGACAAGCUAGUUGACCAGAGCCUAACUGAUCAGGGUAAUUCCAAGUCUGGGUGGAAGGGUCCUCACCUCUUCUGGCUGGCCUGGGAUCGCGGACACAGGGCUGCGCGGCGUUGGGGGCCCGGGCCGCAUCUCGCACCAACAAGUCUCGGCUCCCCCAAGCAGCAGCAGCAGCACGGAGUGAAGACUGAGGCCAGGAGAGAACUUGCCGCAGCCCCUCGAACGUGACGGGCUGUGCCCAAGAGCUCCACUCCAGGGCCAUCACUUAGGCCUGGCCUGCAGCGCCCUCGUCCUCAGCCUCUCGGGCGUGCCCACCGCGCCCCUUCCCCGGUCCAGAGGAGCCCAUCCCGGGGACCCAGCCUCUCUUUACCCACGACUCACACCCCACUCCCUGUCCUGCAAGUCAGUCGCCUCCACUCCCUCGGCACCCAACCCCACCACUCACCGUGUUCGGUACGCCCACCUGCUCUAAGCCAACCUCCACAACCCGGAACGUCUCUGACACCUGGGCCUUGGCUCCCACUUUUAUGGGCUCCGCGCGCUGCGCGGGCCUCCCACAGAUGGCUCACGCAUGCGCCCUGGGCGAGGAUCGGAGCCUGACUGCUCCUCCCAAGGACACCUGGAGAAGGCUUGGAGCAGUUUUCGGCACCAUGCUCGCUCCGGCGCCUGGACGCCCUGGUGUUGGCGCUUCCAGAGGACGGGUCGGUUCCCUGUCCCACUUGCUCUCCCGGACUGUCCCUUCCAUUUGAGUGUGUUCGCUGAAGACCGCUUGUCUCCCCUGCUCUGAGCCCCUGGUCUCCUUCCUUCUUGGGCCUAACACCGCUGACACGAAGGAAGAGGAGCUGACGGAGAAGAAGGAGAGAGAAAGGAGGAGGCUAGCUUGGACCGUGUGGACCUGAAAGUAGGCGAUUCAUAAGGGAGGGGCGCUCCAGCCCCUACCACUGCGGAGAGUAAAAGCAGGGGUGCAGAGGCUCUGGCAGUUAGGGCGCCCUGGGUUGGGAGAGUGAGGAACAGAGGGCCUGGGAAGUCGUCUGUGGGCUGGUACAUGGGCAGUUGGAGAGAGAAGCUGGCACACACGGACUCCGCUUUUUUUGCAUGGGAAAGAAAGGAAAGGCCUAGGAUCGUAGUUAAUGAGAGUCGUGGGGUUGUAAGGAUUAUUGUGAGUUUUUUGUUUUGUUUUUUAAAGUGAGAGAUUUAGGUAUCUGUAAGGCCAGAAUGGAGAGACAAGGAGAUGUUACCUAUAGUGGAGAGAGAUAAGAUGUUAGGAGGAUGUUCUGAGGAAGCACAAGGUGAGGUUAGCUAAGCCUGAUUACAAUGCUUUGCCUUGGACAGAAGAAAGUUACUGAGAUAGGUGGGAAAUGAAGUCUUUGAAGACAGGAGUUUCAGUGCUUUAGCAUGUGAUGACCUUGAUAUUUUUCUUUUUCUAAAGUUUUUUAUUUUGAGAGAGAGAGAGAGUGUGUGUGUGUAUGAGGGAGCAAGAGAGGAGAGAGGGAAAGAGAGAAUCCCAAGCAGGCUCCUUGCUGUCAGCACAGAGCCUCACCUGGGGCUCAGUCUCACAAAACUGUGAGAUCAUUACCUGAGCUGAAACCAAGAGUCUGGCAUUUAACUGACUGAGCUACCCAUGUGCCCUACUCUUGAUAUUUUUCAAUGGAGGGCAGAAUAAAGACUUUAAGGGAACAUUGAAAAUUUGGGAUGACUGUCUGCAUUACCAGGUAAAGUUGUGUUUGAGCAGAAAUACUGGUGCCUGAAACUGGAUAAAGUUUUUCUUUCACAUAGAGAUGGAGGUAUGCCAUCCUUCCAGGGCAGGUCUGGAAGCUCCUUGCUGUCACAAAGAACCCAGUCUCCUUUUGUUUUGCUCUGCCAUCCUUACAAUGGCUCCCAUCUUCAAAAUGCCACAUGUUCCAAGAUGCUUGUUCCAGGCAGAAAGCAGGGGGUUGAGAAGGGAAAGGGUAAAAAAGAGCACAACAGGUACACAGCAGCUUCUCUUCUGUCAUCAGUAUUGCUUUUAAGGAGCUUUACUAGAAGACCUACCCAACUUCAGCUUAUACCACAAUGGCUUCCCAUGGCUGAAAUGAAGUUGUCUUUUAGCUAGGCGUAUUGCCACUUGCAAUAAAUUGAGAUGCUAUGACUAAGGAAGAGAAUGGGUAUUAAUUGAGCUGACAACUAACAAUGUCUGCCAUACUGCUGCAGGGAAGGGAAAAAAACAGUCUUCUACAAACAUGCAAAAGGAUUGCUGGUAGAGUUGAGGGCUGACCUGGAAUGAGGAUCAGUACUUUGUAUUUUCCCUCAUCUGUAGUGGUGUAUCACUUGCUCAGUCAUAUUCAGCUGCUUGGGAGAGACCUUGAAUGAUUGCAUGAAUCCAAACCAAGGACUGUGGUUUUACGGAGCUUGUGGGCAGAAGAGCAAGGGUUCAAGAAAGUUCAGUGUAAUGGUGAGAAAUUAAUACAUCAUGACACAUAAUGUAUACCCUGUACUUACAUGACCGUGAACAUGGGUGCCUCCUUAAAGUUUUACCCUAGGUGCCUCACCCCACCCUACUUAGUGGCCUAGUAUAUAGUCAGGAAGAGAAAGGAAGUAAUGUCAGAGGGGAGCUGAUCAAAUGGAAAAAAAAUUAAUGGAAAUCUUUUACAUGACAGGGAGUUGUAGUCAGAGAAUGGACAGUUUAAAUUUAGGAUUUCAGAGUUGGAACUGUUGCUAAUUAUAACAAGGUCCAUCGGGUGAUCAAGUAGUGCUUUGCUCAGAUGCUGUGUGGUGAGAGUCAUUGGCACUGAGGAAGGAAAAGAUCUUGGAAGCUGGAGUUUUGGAUGACUCACCCCCUCCUUCAUAUCGUGGUCAUGUAGAUAGAGGUUUCCUAUGUCCUCAAUGAAUAUGGCACAGUGACCCACAAGGUGAAAGACAGAAGUAUCAGAAGAUGUUUGUAUUUAUAAUUUUAUAAUAUUUUUCUUGAAGAUAACCCCCCAAAAUUUAUAAUAGUCAGUCCCCAGAAAACUGGGAUUUUCCACAAGCUAGUGGCCAUAUCUCAGUGCUGGGGUGCAUGAACAGUGAAAGAAAGAAGAACCUCCUUAUGAGGGCAGCUCAGAACAGGAGUGUCCUUGGGAGGAAACAAAGUUCAGCAACUAUUCAGAAAUAGGUUGAGGGAUAUAGUGGGUUGUGUUCAGCCAAACAGGGCUUCCAAGUUACAUAAUCGAGAGGGUUCGUAGGUAGAUCAGCAGGGAGCAGGAUUGGAAUGAGAGUGUUCCAGAAAUGCCAGCUAAUUGGAAGCUUUGGAUUUGAGGCUGUGCUGAAAGAUGUCACAGAUGAAACUACCCAGUUUUGUACUACUUGGUCUGUAGUGGUACUAUCUGGCUCAUAGAUUCCACUAGACCUCUAAUAUAAAAAUGUUUUUGUGCCAACUGAGGCAUUUUGUGUGGGGUGGGGUGUCUGAGGUUAGGUGGUGGUUGCUAUUUUUAUGUUAAGGUCCAGUUAGUGAACUCUGUGUUCUCUGCUCAGGAUUCCAAAUGGGUAUUAUUAUCAUUGUCUCUAUUUUAAGAUGACGACACCUGAGAUUCAGGGAGGUUAAGUAAUCUAACCAUAUAUAUGAAGUUUCAAUCCUAAAUUGGAAAUGAGAUUGGGCUAAGGUCUUUGGAUUCCCAGGCCCAGUGCCUUUUCUAUUCCUUGGGUGGUCCCUGUUACUCUCCUUUUGACAGUCUGACAGUCUCUGUCUCAUUAAAGCAGCCUGAUUUAUACUUUCCCCUCAGUUGACACACUGGAUUUUAUAUUGAAAAUUUAAACAGCAAGUGUAAUAAUAAUAAUAGUCUUGUUUUCCAUACCUUGAGCUUCCUCUUUAACAUAUUGGUGAGCUAUAAACACAUCAUGGAUGCUCAGCCUUACUAGUGAACCUUCAUUCACUCAUUUCCUCCACAAAUAUUUGAGUACGUACAAAGGGACCAGCACAACUGUAACCCUAAGGAAACAGCAGGGAAGAAAAAAUUAUAAUUCCUAGGGAGUCUACAUUCUUUGGGAUUUGCAGUGAGAUGCCAUUUAUAACUAUCAGAUGGCGGGGGGGGGGGGGGGGAUGUAACCAGUUUGACAACACGAGAGUUAAGGAGGAAGAAGUGAAGUGGUAGGAACAUGUAUAGACUGCUGCUGGUGAUACUUCAAAUCACUUUGGAGAGCAAGUUGACGAUAUCAAAAAGUUGAAAAAGGGUUGGGGCGUCUGGGUGGCUCAGUUGGUUAAGCGUCCACCUUCAGCUUGGGUCAUGAUCUCAUGGUUUGUGGGUUCAAGCCCUGCAUCGGGCUCUGUGCUGACAGCUUGGAGCUUGGAGCCUGGAGUCUGCUUCGGAUUCUGUGUCUCCCACUCUCUCUCUGCCCCUCCCCCACUUGUGCUCUGUCUGUCUCUCUCUCAAAAAUAAAUAAAAUGUAAAAAAAAAAAAAAAGCAACUUUUUUUUAAGUUGAAAAAGGGUCAUACUCCAUAAACUAGCAAUUGUACAUCUAGAAAUAUUCUAGAAAAAAUUUUUGCAUAUGAUCCCAAGGAGCCAUCUAUUAAAACUGUUUGUUGCAGGGGUGCCUGGGUGCUCAGUCAGUUAAGUGUUGGACUGAGGUCAUGAUCUCACAGUUUAUGAGUUCAAGCCCUGCAGUUGGGCUCUGUGCUGACAGUUCAGAGCCUGGACCUACUUCAGAUUCUGGGUCUCCCUGUCUCUCUGCCCCUCCUCCCACUCACGCUCUCUCUCUCUCUCUCUCUCUCUCAAAAUAAAUAAAUAUUAAAAAAAAAUCUUGUUGCAGUAGCAUUGCUUGUAACAUAAAAGAAUUGAAAACCACCCAAAUGUCCAUGAAGCAAGAGAAUACAUAAAUUAUGGUGUAGUACACAGGAGUUAAAUAAAUGAACUAGGAUCACA